rnacentral:rRNA from 1 species
CGGACGGGUGGGUAAUGUCUGGGAAACGUGCCUGAUGGAGGGGGAUAACUACUGGAAACGGUAGCUAAUACCGCAUAACGUCGCAAGACCAAAGAGGGGGACCUUCGGGCCUCUUGCCAUCGGAUGUGCCCAGAUGGGAUUAGCUAGUAGGUGGGGUAAAGGCUCACCUAGGCGACGAUCCCUAGCUGGUCUGAGAGGAUGACCAGCCACACUGGAACUGAGACACGGUCCAG